AGAGUUUGAUCCUGGCUCAGGACGAACGCUGGCGGCGCGCCUAACACAUGCAAGUCGAACGAGAGAUGAGGAGCUUGCUCUUCAAAUCGAGUGGCGAACGGGUGAGUAACGCGUGAGGAACCUGCCUCAAAGAGGGGGACAACAGUUGGAAACGACUGCUAAUACCGCAUAAGCCCACGGCUCGGCAUCGAGCAGAGGGAAAAGGAGCAAUCCGCUUUGAGAUGGCCUCGCGUCCGAUUAGCUAGUUGGUGAGGUAACGGCCCACCAAGGCGACGAUCGGUAGCCGGACUGAGAGGUUGAACGGCCACAUUGGGACUGAGACACGGCCCAGACUCCUACGGGAGGCAGCAGUGGGGAAUAUUGCACAAUGGGGGAAACCCUGAUGCAGCGACGCCGCGUGGAGGAAGAAGGUCUUCGGAUUGUAAACUCCUGUUGUUGAGGAAGAUAAUGACGGUACUCAACAAGGAAGUGACGGCUAACUACGUGCCAGCAGCCGCGGUAAAACGUAGGUCACAAGCGUUGUCCGGAAUUACUGGGUGUAAAGGGAGCGCAGGCGGGAGAACAAGUUGGAAGUGAAAUCCAUGGGCUCAACCCAUGAACUGCUUUCAAAACUGUUUUUCUUGAGUAGUGCAGAGGUAGGCGGAAUUCCCGGUGUAGCGGUGGAAUGCGUAGAUAUCGGGAGGAACACCAGUGGCGAAGGCGGCCUACUGGGCACCAACUGACGCUGAGGCUCGAAAGUGUGGGUAGCAAACAGGAUUAGAUACCCUGGUAGUCCACACCGUAAACGAUGAUUACUAGGUGUUGGAGGAUUGACCCCUUCAGUGCCGCAGUUAACACAAUAAGUAAUCCACCUGGGGAGUACGACCGCAAGGUUGAAACUCAAAGGAAUUGACGGGGGCCCGCACAAGCAGUGGAGUAUGUGGUUUAAUUCGACGCAACGCGAAGAACCUUACCAAGUCUUGACAUCCCUUGACGAUGCUGGAAACAGUAUUUCUCUUCGGAGCAAGGAGACAGGUGGUGCAUGGUUGUCGUCAGCUCGUGUCGUGAGAUGUUGGGUUAAGUCC
rnacentral:rRNA from 1 species